CCUACGGGGGGCUGCAGUGGGGAAUAUUGCACAAUGGGGGGAACCCUGAUGCAGCGACGCCGCGUGAGUGAAGAAGUAUUUCGGUAUGUAAAGCUCUAUCAGCAGGGAAGAAGAUGACGGUACCUGACUAAGAAGCCCCGGCUAACUACGUGCCAGCAGCCGCGGUAAUACGUAGGGGGCAAGCGUUAUCCGGAUUUACUGGGUGUAAAGGGAGCGUAGACGGCAGGGCAAGUCUGAAGUGAAAGCCGGGGGCCCAACCCCGGGACUGCUUUGGAAACUGCCAUGCUGGAGUGCUGGAGAGGUAAGCGGAAUUCCUAGUGUAGCGGUGAAAUGCGUAGAUAUUAGGAGGAACACCAGUGGCGAAGGCGGCUUGCUGGACAGUAACUGACGUUGAGGCUCGAAAACGUGGGGAGCAAACAGGAUUAGAUACCCGAGUAGUC
rnacentral:rRNA from 1 species